rnacentral:rRNA from 1 species
GCUUGUCUCAAAGAUUAAGCCAUGCAUGUCUAAGUAUAAACAACUUUAUACUGUAAAACUGCGAACGGCUCAUUAUAUCAGCAAUAAUUUAUUUGAUGGUUUCUUACCCCAUGGAUAACUGUGGUAAUUCUAGAGCUAAUACAUGCGUAAAGUCCCGACUCUUUCUGGGGAGGGAUGUAUUUAUUAGAUAAAAAACCAAUGCGGGUUCUGCCCGGUUUUGUGUUGAAUCAUAGUAACUAAUCGGAUCGCAUGGGCUAGUCCCGCGACAAACCAUUCAAGUUUCUGCCCCAUCAGCUUUCGACGGUAGUGUAUUGGACUACCGUGGCUUUUACGGGUAACGGAGGAUUAGGGUUCGAUUCCGGAGAGGGAGCCUGAGAAACGGCUACCACAUCCAAGGAAGGCAGCAGG